rnacentral:rRNA from 1 species
CCUACGGGAGGCUGCAGCUAGGAAUCUUGGGAAUGGGCGAAAGCCUGACCCAGCAACGCCGCGUGGGCGAUGAAGGCCUUCGGGUCGUAAAGCCCUUUUGUAGGGGAGGCGGUACCCUGCGAAUAAGCCACGGCUAACUACGUGCCAGCAGCCGCGGUAAUACGUAGGUGGCAAGCGUUGUCCGGAUUUACUGGGCGUAAAGGGCGUGCAGGCGGUUUGUUAAGUUCAGGGUGAAAGCUCCCGGCUCAACUGGGAGAGGUCCUUGGAUACUGGCAGACUUGAGGAGGGUAGAGGAGAGUGGAAUUCCCGGUGUAGUGGUGAUAUGCGUAGAUAUCGGGAGGAACACCAGUGGCGAAGGCGGCUCUCUGGGCCUCCUGACGCUGAGACGCGAAAGCGUGGGGAGCGAACCGGAUUAGAUACCCUUGUAGUC